rnacentral:rRNA from 1 species
CCUACGGGAGGCUGCAGUGAGGAAUAUUGGUCAAUGGACGAGAGUCUGAACCAGCCAAGUAGCGUGAAGGAUGACUGCCCUAUGGGUUGUAAACUUCUUUUAUACAGGAAUAAAACGAGGCACGUGUGCCUUUUUGCAUGUACUUUAUGAAUAAGGAUCGGCUAACUCCGUGCCAGCAGCCGCGGUAAUACGGAGGAUCCGAGCGUUAUCCGGAUUUAUUGGGUUUAAAGGGAGCGUAGAUGGGUUGUUAAGUCAGUUGUGAAAGUUUGCGGCUCAACCGUAAAAUUGCAAUUGAUACUGGCAGUCUUGAGUACAGUUGAGGUAGGCGGAAUGCGUGGUGUAGCGGUGAAAUGCUUAGAUAUCACGAAGAACCCCGAUUGCGAAGGCAGCUUACUAAACUGUGACUGACAUUGAGGCUCGAAAGUGUGGGUAGCAAACAGGAUUAGAUACCCUAGUAGUC